rnacentral:rRNA from 1 species
AACGAACGCUGGCGGCGUGCCUAAGACAUGCAAGUCGUGCGGAAAGGCUCCUUCGGGAGUACUCGAGCGGCGCACGGGUGAGUAACACGUGGGUAAUCUACCUGAGGGUCUGGGAUAACUCCGGGAAACUGGGGCUAAUACCGGAUGAGACCACAGCGUCUUUGGACGCAGCGGUCAAAGAUGGCCUCUCCUUGGAAGCUAUCGCCUACAGAUGAGCCCGCGUCCCCAUAGCUAGUUGGCGGGGUAACGGCCCACCAAGCGACGAUGGGUAGCUGGUCUGAGAGGAUGAUCAGCCACCACUGGAACUGAGACACGGUCCAGACUCCUACGGGAGGCAGCAGUCGGGAA